UGCCUAACACAUGCAAGUCGAACGGUAACAGGCCUUCGGGCGCUGACCAGUGGCGGACGGGUGAGUAAUACGUAGGAAUCUGCCCAUUAGUGGGGGAUAACCCGGCGAAAGCCGGGCUAAUACCGCAUACGCCCUACGGGGGAAAGCGGGGGAUCGCAAGACCUCGCGCUAUUGGAUGAGCCUACGUCGGAUUAGCUAGUUGGUAGGGUAAUGGCCUACCAAGGCAACGAUCCGUAGCUGGUCUGAGAGGACGAUCAGCCACACUGGGACUGAGACACGGCCCAGACUCCUACGGGAGGCAGCAGUGGGGAAUCUUGGACAAUGGGGGAAACCCUGAUCCAGCAAUGCCGCGUGUGUGAAGAAGGCCUUCGGGUUGUAAAGCACUUUCGAUAGGGAAGAAAAGCUGGUUGUGAAUAACAGCCGGUCUUGACGUUACCUAGAGAAGAAGCACCGGCUAACUCUGUGCCAGCAGCCGCGGUAAUACAGAGGGUGCAAGCGUUAAUCGGAAUUACUGGGCGUAAAGCGCGCGUAGGCGGUUCGAUAAGUCGGAUGUGAAAGCCCUGGGCUCAACCUGGGAAUGCCAUUCGAUACUGUCGAGCUAGAGUAUGGUAGAGGAAAGCGGAAUUCCACAUGUAGCGGUGAAAUGCGUAGAUAUGUGGAGGAACAUCAGUGGCGAAGGCGGCUUUCUGGACUAAUACUGACGCUGAAGUGCGAAAGCGUGGGGAGCAAACAGGAUUAGAUACCCUGGUAGUCCACGCCGUAAACGAUGAGAACUAGCGGUUGG
rnacentral:rRNA from 1 species